rnacentral:rRNA from 1 species
UAGUCCACGCCGUAAACGAUGUAUACUAGAUGUCUGUGAUAUUUAAAUUAUGGGUGUCGGAGCUAACGCGAUAAGUAUACCGCCUGGGGAGUACGGUCGCAAGAUUAAAACUCAAAGGAAUUGACGGGGGCCCGCACAAGCGGUGGAGCAUGUGGUUUAAUUCGAUGCAACGCGCAGAACCUUACCCGGUCUUGACAUCCUUCGGACCGAUCCUAGAGAUAGGAUCUUUCUCUUCGGAGACUGAAGUGACAGGUGCUGCAUGGCUGUCGUCAGCUCGUGUUGUGAGAUGUUGGGUUAAGUCCCGCAACGAGCGCAACCCUUGUCGUUAGUUGCCAUCAUUAAGUUGGGCACUCUAGCGAGACUGCCGAGGUUAACUCGGGAGGAAGGCGGGGGAUGGACGUCAAGUCCUCAUGGGCCCUUAUGACCGGGGGCUACACACGUGCUACAAUGGUACGGACAGAGUGAAGCUAAACUGUAAAGUCAA